UCCAGUGUGACGUAGUGGUUUGAGUGUUGGACUAUGACUCUGGAGACCAGGGUUCAAUUUCCCGCUCAGCCA
rnacentral:tRNA from 1 species